rnacentral:rRNA from 1 species
AGUAAAUAAUAUAAGAGCAUUUGGUGGAUGCCUUGGCGCUAGAAGGCGAUGAAGGACGUAAUACACUGCGAUAAGCUCCGGGGAGCUGUGAAUAGGCUUUGAUCCGGAGAUUUCCGAAUGGGAAAACCCACCUGAUUUAUCAGGUAUCAUAUGGUGAAUACAUAGCCAUAUGAGGCAAACUCAGUGAACUGAAAUAUCUCAUUAGCUGAAGGAAAGGACAUCAACAGAGACUCCGUUAGUAGUGACGAGCGAACGCGGACCAGGCAAGUGGCUUUUAAAAGUAAACUAGAACAGUAUGGAAAGACUGGCAACAAUAGGUGAUAGCCCUGUAUAGGUAAAGCUUUUUUAAGUCCUAGAGUAAGGCGGGACACGUGAAAUCCUGUUUGAAUAUGGGGGGACCACCCUCCAAGCCUAAGUACUCUCUAGCGACCGAUAGUGAACAAGUACCGUGAGGGAAAGGUGAAAAGAACCCCGACGAGGGAAGUGAAAUAGACACUGAAACCGAAUGCUUACAAGCAGUCGGAGCGGAAUUUAUUCCGUGACGGCGUACCUUUUGUAUAAUGGGUCAGCGACUUAGUUUGUCGAGCGAGCUUAAGCCGUUAGGUGUAGGCGUAGCGAAAGCGAGUCUUAAAUAGGGCGAUAUAGUUCGACGAAUUAGACCCGAAACCGGGUGAUCUAGCCAUGGCCAGAUUGAAGGUGGAGUAACAUCUACUGAAGGAUCGAACCCACUAAUGUUGAAAAAUUAGGGGAUGAGCUGUGGCUAGGGGUGAAAGGCCAAUCAAACUCGGAGAUAGCUGGUUCUCCGCGAAAUCUAUUUAGGUAGAGCGUUAUAUAAUUACCACUGGAGGUAGAGCACUGGAUAAGCUAGGGGGUCCAACAGACUUACCAAACUUAACCAAACUCCGAAUGCCAGUGAG